rnacentral:rRNA from 1 species
CAUGGAGGGUGAGAAUCCCGUACGGCCAUCAUUGCUUGUGUACGAUACGCUUUCAAAGAGUCAAGUUGUUUGAGAUUGCAGCUUAAAGUGGGAGGUAAAUUUCUCCUAAGGCUAAAUAUUGGCGAGAGACCGAUAGCGAACAAGUACCGUGAGGGAAAGAUGAAAAGCACUUUGAAAAGAGAGUUAAAUAGUACGUGAAAUUGUUGAAAGGGAAACGAUUGAAGCCAGUCGUACCGACGGAGAAUCAACUUUUGGAAUGCGUUUCGGGGUAUUCGAGGAGUUUAAAAGCCCUCUUGUGCUUUUGUAUUCGUGUUUCUUGGGUGCACUUCUUCGUAUGGUAGGUUAACAUCAAUUUUGGACGUUAUAAAAUGACUGGGGGAAUGUAGCUUCGAUUUUUCGAAGUGUUAUAGCCCUUGGUAGAUGUGACGACCGGGAUUGAGGAUUGCAACGAAUGCUUUCGGGCUAUCCGUCUGACCUCUGGUGGUUGCUUUGGGAUUGAAAGCGUGCUUAUAAUUUCAAAGUUGGCUAUCAAAAGGCUAGAACGUGAUUAAAUUCGUUAAGGAUGUUGACGUAAUGG